UCUGAAUCUGUGUACGAGAAAAGGUAAGUAACGAUAUAAAUAAAGCAUGAAUAUGACUAAUGAAUUGUAUUUACCAUGUCCUAGGUUAAACUGUUGAUCUACAUGUGAUGCACGUGAACUUGUGACCACUCUAGUGUGACAGUCUUGCUCGAGCGCCAGUGACUCAGGCGAGGAAAAGCCCGUGAAGUGCAGAUGGGCAGUGAGGCCACCAAAAGGCCGAUCUCCAGGGCCCAAACAUGUAGAACAAAGAGUCAGCAUGCAUGAUAUCUAUAUUUAAAAGAACUAAGAAAAGAAGUUAGAGCACAACUUAUAUGGAUAGCAUGCCAAAAACUGCAAAUCCUCUUGCUACCUCGGAUAGUGACAUCCAUCUGAUGGUAUAGAUAUGCGAGAGUUGCAUACCUCCAGUCAUAAGAAGAGACCUGGUCCGAGUCCCGCAGAGGAGCUAAAUGUCUCUUAGGAGGGGUAUUUAUACCCUUUAACGAUAAAAGAGACGUUAUAAAUAGAUGCAACUAACUUUUUGCGAUCGAGACACUUGUGUUGCGGUCGCAAAACCUAAAGUGGCAACGACUAUAUUCCAUAUGGCACUAUACGAUUCGUCGUGUUAGAAGUAACCGUUGGCGAUUUCUUGAGGUUUGUAUAAGUCGCAGUCAUGAAAUCAAGGGCGUCGAUGCAAUUCUUACUACUUCUUUAAUACUGAGGUUCUUGGACGCGAUUGUUUGGCUCAUGGGCGCUAAACCUUCUAACUUCCAGAAUCAGACUUUCAUGGGCGCGAUAUGAGGCUCGCGAUCGUGAAAUCAUCAAUUGCUUCAAGGGUAAAGUUGUUUAUGAAAGUCGCGUUCGCGACAUACUUGUGGCAGUUGCAAUUUAGAAAGUAUUUUUUAGAACUUUUAAGCUCUUCAAAGAACAUCUACAAAGAACACUCAAAGUCAAGAUUAUAUACACUCAAUCUUAAUCGUUAAGGUCAAAA